GACGAACGCUGGCGGCGUGCUUAACACAUGCAAGUCGAACGGUGAAGGGGUCUGCUUUUGUGGGCCCUGGAUGAGUGGCGAACGGGUGAGUAACACGUGAGUAACCUGCCCCCUUCUUCUGGAUAACCGCAUGAAAGUGUGGCUAAUACGGGAUAUUCUGGGUCUGUCGCAUGAUGGGUCUGGGAAAGAUUGCGCCUUUGGGUGUUUUUGGUGGGGGAUGGGCUCGCGGCCUAUCAGCUUGUUGGUGGGGUGAUGGCCUACCAAGGCGGUGACGGGUAGCCGGCCGGAGAGGGUGGACGGUCACACUGGGACUGAGACACGGCCCAGACUCCUACGGGAGGCAGCAGUGGGGAAUAUUGCACAAUGGGCGCAAGCCUGAUGCAGCGACGCCGCGUGAGGGAGGGAGGCCUUCGGGUUGUAAACCUCUUUCGCCAGUGAAGCAGGCCUGCUCCUUGUGGGUGGGUUGACGGUAGCUGGAGAAGAAGCGCCGGCUAACUACGUG
rnacentral:rRNA from 1 species